GCACGAACGCACGCACGCACAGCUCGCGGAGCAGACCCAUUCGCCGCCGCCUAUCCCUGCGCUACCUCCAUCCCUUCGCCGCCGCCCUCCCACCAAGCCGCCGCCGAUCCUGGAGCUACCUCCAUUCCUUCUGCGCCGCCGAUCCUGGAGCUACCUCCAUCCCUUCGGCGCCGCCAUCCCAUCAAGCCGCCGCCGAUCCUGGAGCCAUCUACCCCUGGAUCCCUUCGCGGGCGCCGAUCCCGUCGAGGAGCCGACGCCGAUCCCCUUCAGGAGCCAUCUGAUAUGAACGCACGGGCACGCCGAUCCCAUUCAGGAGCCGACGCAGGAUGAGGCAAGCCCCCGCGCGUCAAUCGCAGAGAGCCUCGCGAUGCAGGUACUGCUGCUGCCAGUCAGGAUGCAAGAAUCUGCUACCAAUACUGCAAAAGGAAGAUUUCUACAAUAACAAGAAGGAAGUAUUGUAUUUUCUCGCCAUUGCCCGUGAGGGCAAAAUUUGGUAACUGGUGCAUUGUUAAUGUUAUCCAUUAUGCCUUUCAUCACCACAACCCCCCUUCCUCCUAUAAAGUGGCAUCCUAUCUUUUCUCAAAUUCCUCUUCUCAACACAAAAAUCGUCGUCUAAAGGUCUUAUUAUUAUCAUGUUAAACGCUCUUUUUUGUUGACAUGUGUUCCUUCCCUUUUAUCUUGCAUAGGGAAAAUAGGGCCAGAGUAAAAUUUGUCAACUGCACUUUGUGAUGUUGGCGCUUGGGGUCAGAUGGUCCAUCGAUUGUAGAUUUUUAUGCCUUCUGUAGGUGUAAAUGUAAUAGACUGAUAAUUGGCGACAGGAGAUACCUGCAUGUAUGCCACAUUGGGUGACCUUCAGAUAAUGCUCACCUUCAGGGAAAGCUUAUCAUAGAAAUAGUAUCCAUGAAGUUUAUUGAAGAGAGCGACUCAUUUUUUAUACUGGAUGGGAACGCUUCCAUCAUAGGCUCCAUCUCAUCCGAUCUUUGAGCCGGUCUAUUUUCAACAUUUAUACGAAGAAGAUCUAGCACCAAAGGUUCACCAUCGGGAUUAACACUGUUUCAGCGAUGAUAUAUCUCCAGCUGCAUUAUUAACGAGCUUUCCAAUGACACCAUAUUGUUUUAGGUGAACACUUUUGCUGCCACACCCACAUGUUGUUUUACGUGAACACUUUCCAAUGGCUCAUUGUUGCUCAGUUACAAUUGUGUCGCAAUACUAUUUUGUAGGGAUGUACUUCCCCUGGUAUACCAAUGACGGAUCUAUGUGCUCCCAAUUGUAACAUAGAUUGUAUUUUUUUUCAUCCAUGAUUUAACUUUCUUGCAAGCAAAUUCCUACACAACGCAUUAAUUUAUAUCUUGGAGCUUAUCUAUGUGCUCCCUCUGUAAAGAAAUAUAAGAUCUUUUAUAUCAGACCUAAGUUAUCAUGCUCGAGGAAAAAGAGAAUGAAAAUAUGGAAAUUUGUACGUAAUGCACAAUAAGUAUGUCAGAAUGGAAAUUUGUACAUAACCUUUCAUAGGGUCUUCAUUUCAAAAUCUUUGUUCUUUACAGUGUCAUGUGAGAUUACUUAUGUCAUAUCACUCUAUUUACUAAAAAAUUGAUGUGAUCAUUCACAUUUUGCAAUCUUUACAAUUAUAUUCCAAGUAUAGUGUCCAUUGCAAUUUCUCAUCUCAAGAUUGUAUAUGGACUGUGAGAGCAAAAAUUAUUUGGUUUACGUAUUAUCAAAAGUUCCCGCAGCAACGAGUUUAUCGCCGAACCGCCCCCAGUGCCGAGUUUAUCGCCGGCGCACCCCCAGGCCGCUCUUUUUCGACGCCCUGGGGGGCUGAACGGCUGGAGAUGCUCUUAGCGGGCAUGCCCUGGUUGAGGCCCCCAAAAUUCAGAUGACGGCGCUGAGGAGAUCACGUAACCCCAAGGCAGGGCGUAGCGACCGGCGAGGAGCGCCUCAAGGGCGUGGCCCCCGAUUCGUGGAUCGACAGCGUGGAGCCAAUCGUGUGCGGACAGGAUGUGGCGGUGCUGCAGCAAGCGAGGAGCGCCACUACCGUUCGCACAAGAUUCGCCGUCUCGUCUCUGCGAUUUGACCGCCGCCGGCGGUCUGCGCUCCACUGUCCGCAUCCGAACUCGCCAGAGCCGCGGUGCCCCAUGAACCGCCCGCCUCCCCCAUUUCGUUUCCGUUUGAUGGUAGUGACGACGACGACCAAGGUUGUCACUGAGUCGGCCAUGAUUCCAUAUUUUAAGUAUAGUUGGACAGUUGCAACUAUUUUUCUUCAUCACAUCGGAUACUCGGAAAUGUUUUUGCUUGAAGAGAUGAAGUAUGCCUUUUGUUCAGUCCUAUGGAGUUCACAAAUUGAUCUACAGCUACACUAUUUAGAAACUCAAAGGAGCAUCAAGGUCGAAGAAUUUCUUGGAGAUGGCUAUAUUCCCUAGAUCACUCGAUCGAUCAAAAAUUUCCCUUACAAAAAUUAUCUUAUCAGUGCCACUGUGUAUUUUGAUUAACAAGGUAACAAAUAAAGCUAAACUGUUAAUAAGAUAACAAUGUUGAAUUCUCUAUUGAUUUGUUAAUUUAUGUGAAUUUUUUUAUAGAGCUGGCAUUUAUUUGGAUAUGAUUUAACUGUUAAUCAGAUUUUUGACUUAAACUUUUCAGUAUAAUUCACUCAUUUAGUAUUAAGUUAAUAUUUAUGGAUCAUGCUUUGGCCAGUAUAUCAAUAUUUGCUAAAAUAUGAUGACCGUGUGCCAUACAGCUGAAUUAUUUUUGGUGGUUAUGAAAUGUGCAACGCAUGUACCAUGAACGCGGCACUUAGUUUGAUUUGUUCGGCUAUACUGUACCAACCCUCCCAGAUCCAUAAUAUAAGGUGUAAUUUGAUUGUCUAAAUUCAUACUUUGUCUAAAGACAUCUCUUGAAAAAAUUUGUCGAUGGUUACAAAUCAUAAUCAUAUGGAAGCUUGCUUGAACACAAAUCUAACUAUGUCUAUUUUAUGUAAUAUGAACUACUCUCUCUCUCUCUCAUAAUAAUUGAUGUAUUUAGCACUCAAAUACGUCUAGCACAUCUAUUUGAGCGACAAUUGAUAUGGGAUGGAGGGAGUACACAUUAUUUGACUAAUUAUAUAGCAAAGCAUGAAUUUUGAUAGCAAAAAUUAUUUGACUAAUCAUCGAGUUUUACACAAUCAUUGAGGAGAGGCAGCAGGACGGCCCGAGCCAGACGUUUACGCCUACAAUGCCCUCAUGGAGGCUUACAGCCACACAGGGUUUCCACAAGCCGCUAUCAAGAUCUUUGCCCUAAUGCAGCACAUGGGUUGCACCGAGCUUCAUGCAGCAUCUUGGUGGAUGUUAUGAGAGAGCCUGUCUCCAUGGAGAGGCUGAGGCCGCGUUUGAGCCACUGAAGCAGCUGGGAAUGUUGCUGACCGUGAAGUCACACAUGCUGCGGCACAUACUAGGUCCGGCAAUGUGGCAUGGUGGAAGGAGGUGAUGGCGCCGGUGCAUAAAUUUGGCCUCGCCCAGGAGACCUUCACACUCAAAGUCAUGCUCAACGCCUACGGCGCUUCGGCUGCCUCGACGAGAUUGGCAGCCCUCGCUGCCAUGGACUGCCGAGAGACGUGGAACUAUGAACAUGUAGGGCCAAGCGGGGUACCUGGAGAGCAUGAAGGCGAUGUUUGUGUCACCGGAAGGGAGGGGGAUCACUGUCGAUGUGGUGACGUGGAGGUCCUGCAUGAGCGCGCACACACACCAGGACAGAGUACCGGAUGUGCUUGGACAUCGACCUCUAGGUGACAGUCCAUGGUCAAAACCGAGUCGCGGUGUUCACAAUGAUGGGCACUAUUUAUAUCGAAGGACGAGGAGGACGAUUUGGAUGACCGUAACCACAAUGGCAAGGGCAGCAACAUGGUCGUCACCUGCAAUGCCGUUGGGUACUGAGAUUAUGAUGUUUGGUUUAUUUGUUGAAAGUUACAGCCCAUGUUUCAUGAUUUAUUUGCCGCCAGUUAAUCAUGAUAUUUUGAAGUGCUCUGGCAAUUGCUUGCUGUCUGCAUCUCUUACUUUUCAACUUGCUGCAUAUACAGAUAUACACCAUUAGAAUCUGUUUGUACAAUAUAUUUACUUAUUCAACAUGCUUCAGUUAUGCUUCUUUGAAAAUCCAGUUGUAGAUUGAAGUGAAGCCCCAUUUAGAUCUUGGCUAUAGUAUUAUUCUUGUCUUAUGACUGGUGACAGAUUGAUAUAUGAUACCGUGACAUAGCAUAUGUGGUACCGUGGUAGUCACAUUUGGUGGUAGUUCUGAUUGUUUGCUAGAUUACGAGAUAAGACCAAGUGCUUCUGCAACUCGGUUGCGGAUUUGAUAGGAACAUGAAGACUUGUGCCAUGACAUGGAGCAUGUUCGAUUAAAAGGAGUAAGUCAACAUACAGCUUGUUUCUUAUAUUUUAUUUAGAGAAAAUGAUUGUUCCUUGUGUGUCAUUUACUUCUACAAAUGCAGCAUAGUUGCUCCAAUAUAUUGAGCAGGGAAGAAGUUUGUUACAAGUGUUUUAUAGAGUUGACGCAAGAGACAUCCGACGGGAUACAUUGGUGAAGGAAUCGACGAAGAAGCUUCCGUUCAGCAUGGUAUCUCAGUGGAAGAAUAUCCGAAGCAAACCUCCGCUACUUCUCUGUUCCCUUUCAUUUUUCAUGGAAAAUUUGAACAGACCUCGUCCACGCCGAUAGUUUCCAGUUUCAUGUGGCAAUGACAUGUGGAGGACGACGGUCACGAGCGCAUUGUCGCAAGCUCACGGGAGGGAGGCACACAUCUCAUCCAAUGGAAAAGCACGCUCCAAAAAAUCCCUAACCCUCCAUGGAGCCAUUGCUAGGGGACGACGAGAUCAACGCCACCCAUCACGACCACCAAGAUGUAGAAGGGCAUCGUGACUGAGCUGGCGAAGAUGUCAGUGGUGGAAGCGGACAUGUUAUAGAAGAUGUUGAGGGUGGCACCGGAGUUAAUGGCCAAAUGGGGUUCCUCGGCACCGAAGAGAAGGAUGCUGCAGCAACACGUACUGGUUGCAUUUCCCACCAGAGAAGAACUUAUGAAUGGUAUGUGCGCGAUCCAUUCAUUCUUUCGUUUGAUCCUUAUUCUCCUCAACUCAGAUUCAUUUUAUUUUGUACUUAUGCAUGAUUUUGAUGGAUCAAUAAAUUUAGUGGCAUUAAUUGCAAUGAGAAAUAUCAUAUAUCCAUAAACUUCACAUUGUUGUUGCUACGAGUCUGCUGGUCAGCUACUUCCGGUUAUCCUCAUCAAGAGUUGAUAGUCGGAUUUCACCAAGAAAUAAAAACAGAGGAGAACCCACCAGUCUUACUACCGAUAGCCUCAAACAAGAAUAUGGGUAAUUUCCCUUGUAAUUAUUAUUAGAUUUGUUGUUUCUGAAAUUCAGUCUUCAGAAUUACUAUGGCUAAGUGAAGGUGAUAAAUAAUUCCAGUUUAAGGAGUACUUGUGGAUUGUUUAGAUGGAGGAGCACUCUUAGUUUUGUUCUUAGAUUUAAUUCUGAAUCAUUUAGUGUGCAAUUCAGAUUCACGCAGCAUUUUUCUUAAAUUUUGCCUGCCUGGAAAUUAUUAAUGUCAACUUAAUACAUAGCAUGUCCUGAUGUUAAACAUGAUGCAUUUCUUCACUACAGUCUACAUAAUUGGUACAUAUAGCAUGUCUCUGCCGUCAGCAACCCCGUCUUGCUCACUUUUUCAGCGGCAUGGCCUUUUUCCAAUCUUAUGUCAAUUGGUCUUUGCUUUGUGGGCACUAGAAAGGAGACGAUCCUAUCCACUAUCACAAUGAAACAAGGGAAACAAUUCCUUGCAGUCAUCUAUAAGGUUAGCAUGCUGGGGCUUGGUUGAUUCAUUUAUAUUGCUAUUUCUAUGCACACGUAAAAGGAUCUAUGUAUCCACAAUUAAUUUGCUUACCCAUGUGAGUUUGGGGAUAUUUUUUCUCUUGUUAAGAUGCAUGUCAGAUCUAAAUUCUCUGAUAUCUAUGUAUGUAGUGCAGUUUUUAUUAGUUAAAAACCUACUACCAGUCCACGCAUGAAGGUGCACUUAAUUUCUUAGUAUUUCUACGUGCAUUACCUCUCUUGAAUUUACUUAGUAAUAGUAUUUUGUUAUUUGGGUCUGAAGAUACCAAUAUUGCGAAAAGUAAAUAAUUUGGGAGGAGAGUGAAUUGAACUUUAUACUGUUAAGGAUAGUAAACCAAAUUGAUUUUUAUAGAGGCGUGAACAAUCAAACCAAAAAAGGGAGUUGAUUAGUAAGGAGACAUCUAGGAUGUUUCAAAUUCUUUCGAAAAGCUCAAUAUAAAUAUGUGUAGAUGUGUUAAAAUUUGUUCACUGAAUUUCUGGUAAUAUAAUUAGUACUACUCCCUCUGUUUCUAAAUAUAAGUCUUUCUUAGAUAUUCCACUGCGGACUACAUACGAAGCAAAAUGAGUGAAUCUAUACUCUAAAAUAUGUCUAUAUACAUUCGUAUGUAGUUUGUAUUGAAAUCCAUAGAAAGACUUAUAUUUAGAACGGAGGGAGUAUAUGUUAUGGUGGAUAAAAAUUCAUUUAAAUACACUAUGGAAGUGUUUGGUUGCAGAUCGGUAACGCAAACGCAAACGUAAUUGGGUUACACUGUUAACGUAAACGGUAUGGGCAAAAAUCAUACUUUGUUUGGCUACCUACGCUGUAACAUUAAUGAAUACCAGAGUUGGGCAAGUACCAGCCGAGGGCGAACCGUUGGCUGGAAGCAGAUCCAAGCUGUGCAUGGCGGGCGAGGAAGGAGGCGGCAUCGUUCGUGUCUUGGGAGCGAGGGCCUGACAGCGAGGCUAACACAAUGACAGCAGCGGCGGCUGCAGCGACGGCGCCAGCGGCGGACGCAACGACGGCGACCGGAGCGGCGGCGGAUGCAACGACGGCGAUGGUGGCGGCUGCAGCGACGGCGCCGGCGGCGGACGCAACGACGGCGAUGGUGGCGGCUGUUUGCAGCGGCGCCAGCGACGGACGCAACGACGACGACGGUGGCGGCGAUGUGGACAGCUGGUGGCGGCAGAAACGCUUUAAGCAGAAGAGAUAGCGAGGAGGGAGACACCGCAGCGGCUUUCAUUGCGGAUAAUUUCGACCGGUAACAAAUUUGAACUAGGCUGGGAUCUAAUACCGCGUUAUGUGAUUACGGAGCAAUCAAAACAAACAUGAUUUGACGGGAUCCGUUGACGCUGUAAUCAGGUUACGAUACAAAAGCACGAACCAAACACCUCCUAUAUAUACUGUGUACUAAAUGGUGGAAUCGUUGGCCGCCUGCCGACCUCGACUGACGUAGAGAGGGAGAACGCCCUAGAUGGGAUGCUCACGCAUUUGCGCCUCACCAACGUUCACUGCCUCGCAUGCUUCCUAGGCCGAACUGAGAUGCCGUCUCGAGCCGCUGCGUUCUCGAAAAAAAAUUCUCAGAUGCCAUUGUUUCAUUCACCUGAUUCUGAUUGUUUUGCAGACUAAAAUCAUGUUUUGAAAUUAUAUUCAUCAAGUGAGAGACACUUCCAAUGUGCUAAGGUGCGCAGCUCAUCAUAGGAUUAUCACAUCUAGAAUUCUGGUUCUUAGAGCUUUGGUUUCUAUAACCCUUAUUUGCUUGUCUUGUCUUUUGUUUUACGGGUUUCAAGCUUCAGCACAAAUCUUCUGUAGGAAAUCUUGUACUCAAAGUGUAGAAAAAUGCCGUUUUUGUGAAAUGUCACAGGAGCUACAUUACUAACAUUGUUGUAAUGUUUGUAUGGCAGCCUAUUCUUUAAUCCGUUCAAUUACAGAGUUUAUGAUUAUGUAAAUGGAGUAUGAGAUCUGAGAAGAAAAAAAAGGUAAUAGUACUUUCGUUCACAGGCAGAUUCAACAUAUCCUCGUUUACUUCCCCAUUGUCUUCUGACUGACUCCUUAAAUCAUCAACAUGUGUGUAUAUAUAGUUGCAUCUGAUUCAAGGAAGAUAAUGGACAAGUACAUUGGUAUGAACAGGUCGUCGAUUUUGAUAGAAAAUGCUACAGAAUACACAUCAACUAUUAUGCUACAGAAUACACAUAAUUAGUUAUAGAUCAGUAGGCUACUCAUCUGGUUAGUUUUCUCAAGUCAUUUCUUCUCUGUGUAUAUAUGUUAUUUUCCUUUUUACACUAACAAGAGUUUCGUGCUUUC